CGCACGUGUUUCCGUUCAGACCGACAUUCGUCACACAGACACGCGGAGGACGGUUCGUGCAGAGUUGGAGUUACUGGAUUUAGUUGAUUUAAGGACUAUGCAGAAACUGGGUUGUAGGUCCUGCUCGUGUCUCCAAACACCCAAUCGGAUGUUUCACUGUGACCUCCGCAUGUGAAGAAAUAACUUUGACAAAGAUCUGAUCACGACACAUCCUGGAGAAUCUCUCAACUUCAAACACCAACAAAUAAAGCGUAAUAAAACAUUUACAAAGAAAGCGUCUUGGGUCAGUUUAUCAAUCUUUGGUCUAUAUUCGUUUUAUUUGCUCUGAGAUCUAAAUGCAUCUUAUUGGAGCAUUUAAAUCAAGUUAUUUUUGAAUGCA